rnacentral:rRNA from 1 species
UACGUAGGUGGCAAGCGUUGUCCGGAUUUACUGGGCGUAAAGGGCGUGCAGGCGGUUUGUUAAGUGCAGGGUGAAAGCUCCCGGCUCAACUGGGAGAGGUCCUUGCAUACUGGCGAACUCGAGGGAGGCAGAGGAAAGUGGAAUUCCCGGUGUAGUGGUGAUAUGCGUAGAUAUCGGGAGGAACACCUGUGGCGAAGGCGGGUCUCUGGGCCGAUACUGACGCUGAGGAGCGAAAGCGUGGGGAGCGAACAGG